GGUGGCUCAGUGGUAGAGCGCUUGCCUCGCACGCAUGAAGCCCUGGGUUCGAUUCCUCAGUACCA
rnacentral:tRNA from 1 species